AGCGAACGCUGGCGGCAGGCCUAACACAUGCAAGUCGAACGGACCCUUCGGGGUUAGUGGCGGACGGGUGAGUAACACGUGGGAACGUGCCUUUAGGUUCGGAAUAGCUCCUGGAAACGGGUGGUAAUGCCGAAUGUGCCCUUCGGGGGAAAGAUUUAUCGCCUUUAGAGCGGCCCGCGUCUGAUUGGCUAGUUGGUGGUGUAACGGACCACCAAGGCGACGAUCAGUAGCUGGUCUGAGAGGAUGAUCAGCCACAUUGGGACUGAGACACGGCCCAAACUCCUACGGGAGGCAGCAGUGGGGAAUCUUGCGCAAUGGGCGAAAGCCUGACGCAGCCAUGCCGCGUGAAUGAUGAAGGUCUUAGGAUUGUAAAAUUCUUUCACCGGGGACGAUAAUGACGGUACCCGGAGAAGAAGCCCCGGCUAACUUCGUGCCAGCCGCCGCAGUAAGAC
rnacentral:rRNA from 1 species